rnacentral:lncRNA from 1 species
UAGUGCAAGUGGGAGACUGUUGGAGGUAUGCCCUAGAGGCAAUCAUAGAGAUGAUGAUAUUCCAUUUGUAUCCAUGAUUUGUAUGUUGUGUUCAUUGAAUAUCCAUUGAAGGCUACUUGAAUUGAUUUGCAGUUAGGUGAAUUGUAUGUGAAACUCUUUACUUGUAUGGUUAUUCUAAAGUUGUCCCUAGUCGGAGUUCAUGUGAGGACACACAUGAAUAUUAGACUAGCACAUGUAUUAGUUGAUGACUAUGUUUCACAAGUCAUGGACAUGGAGAUGUUGAACUAAUAAUGUGGACACAUGUGGAGACAUGUGCUAGGACUGACCCAACACGAGAAGUAGUUCUCUCUUUAAACAACAUAUACACUUUGU